rnacentral:rRNA from 1 species
ACUCCUACGGGAGGCAGCAGUGGGGAAUAUUGCACAAUGGGCGGAAGCCUGAUGCAGCAACGCCGCGUGCGGGAUGACGGCCUUCGGGUUGUAAACCGCUUUCGCCUGUGACGAAGCGUGAGUGACGGUAAUGGGUAAAGAAGCACCGGCUAACUACGUGCCAGCAGCCGCGGUGAUACGUAGGGUGCGAGCGUUGUCCGGAUUUAUUGGGCGUAAAGGGCUCGUAGGUGGUUGAUCGCGUCGGAAGUGUAAUCUUGGGGCUUAACCCUGAGCGUGCUUUCGAUACGGGUUGACUUGAGGAAGGUAGGGGAGAAUGGAAUUCCUGGUGGAGCGGUGGAAUGCGCAGAUAUCAGGAGGAACACCAGUGGCGAAGGCGGUUCUCUGGGCCUUUCCUGACGCUGAGGAGCGAAAGCGUGGGGAGCGAACAGGCUUAGAAACCCUAGUAGUCCCAUG